GGCUCCAGCCUCCAGCAGAAGUUCCAAUAUUUCCACUUUGCCGGCUUGAGCGGCGUGGUGAAGCGGCGUCCAGCAGAAUUGGUCACAGAUAUCCACCAUCGCCCUGUUGGUCUCAUGGGAUGGGCGUAUUAUUAUUCCCCCAAGCUCAACGGGAGUACAUGGAACCAUCAACAAUUAAAGCUGAGAAUGACAGCAGCAUGAUGAAUGCAGUCCGCUCACCUUCACCUUUUCCACUUCGCUCACCGCGAUGCUUCGAUCAUGCAUCUUCAAACCAUCCGGCCGCUCUGAUGUAGAGCCAGAGGAGAAGCAGGACCAAGGCCUCAGUCCUUCCUGCCUUCAAAUGGCACCGCUGGGAAACCGCCAGGGAGCAG